rnacentral:rRNA from 1 species
AAUAAGCGGAGGAAAAGAAACCAACAGGGAUUGCCUCAGUAACGGCGAGUGAAGCGGCAUCAGCUCAAAUUUGAAAUCUGGCUUCGGCCCGAGUUGUAAUUUGUAGAGAAUGUUUCGGGCGUGGUCCGGUCUAAGUUCCUUGGAACAGGACGUCACAGAGGGUGAGAAUCCCGUGUGACCGGGUGCCGCAGUCCAUGUGAAACUUCUUCGACGAGUCGAGUUGUUUGGGAAUGCAGCUCAAAAUGGGUGGUAAAUUUCAUCUAAAGCUAAAUAUUGGCCAGAGACCGAUAGCGCACAAGUAGAGUGAUCGAAAGAUGAAAAGCACUUUGGAAAGAGAGUUAAAUAGUACGUGAAAUUGUUGAAAGGGAAGCGCUUGCAACCAGACUUGCAUGCAGUUGAUCAUCCGGUGUUCUCACCGGUGCACUCGAUUGUAUUCAGGCCAGCAUCGGUUCUAGCGGUUGGAUAAAGGCCUUGGGAAUGUGGCUCCUCCGGGAGUGUUAUAGCCCUUGGUGCAAUGCAGCCUGCUGGGACCGAGGACCGCGCUUCGGCUAGGAUGCUGGCGUAAUGGUUGUAAGCGACCCGUCUUGAAACACGGACCAAGGAGUCUAACAUCUAUGCGAGUGUUUGGGUGUCAAACCCAUACGCGUAAUGAAAGUGAACGGAGGUGAGAGCUUCGGCGCAUCAUCGACCGAUCCUGAUGUCUUCGGAUGGAUUUGAGUAAGAGCAUAGCUGUUGGGACCCGAAAGAUGGUGAACUAUGCCUGAAUAGGGUGAAGCCAGAGGAAACUCUGGUGGAGGCUCGCAGCGGUUCUGACGUGCAAAUCGAUCGUCAAAUUUGGGUAUAGGGGCGAAAGACUAA